GUGGGGAGCUGGAGCCCGGCCCUGGCCCCACAGAGGUGCCGGGGCUGCCCGGUGCCCCGCUGCUGGUGGGGCGCUGGGCUGGGCCAUGCCUGCCCCACCCUCCCCGGGCCGCCCCAGGCUUUAGGCCCCAGCUGCGCCAUGGGGAGGCUGUUUGCUCAUGGCAGCCAAGGAAAGCGGUCCUGCUUGUGUUCUGCAGGUAGAUUCUAAAAUGCCUCAGUGUGAUCAACUUAAGCCAGUACCAAUGCCUCUUCCGUCAACAGAUUCUUCAAAUGACUGAUCAGGAGGGGAUGUUUGUGAACUCUGUUGUAGGUCUGCUUAUCCUACGACCCUUACCAAGUGGUAGAACUGGAAAAGAUGACUGAGUUUUCCUGCACAGGGAUUGCAUUUCUUUACAUUACUUUGCUGGCUAUUGAUCUGUGUUCCCUAAGCCUUAUGGCUACUGCAUCGUACAUGCCUACAGUGUCGAAUGAAUUCCAGCAAUGUAACUGGUUACCUGGACAAAUAACUGUGACGUAUUUUCCCUUAUGAAAGCCUAUGUGUUUGUCUGUUAAGGCAAAAAACACAGUUCUUUGUGAAACACAGAACUUAGUGAAGUUAUUGUCUUAAUUAUCAGCUUUCAGAGCUCUUUUCAUUUCUAGAACUGUCUGCCAGAAUAUAUAAUAUAAUGUAGUAAUGGUUUCUGUAGUUUAUCAGGAUUAAUUGGCCUAUUGACAAUGAGCUCAUUUCUGUUUACUGCAGAAAUGAAACAAUUCACCCACAAGCAUUCGUAGAAGUGACUUGCUUAGUUAUGAUUAUAGUUUCCCCUCCCCCCCAAGAAUAUCUCCACUGAUUUCAGUGUUGUUGUUACCUCAGGAAUUUUGCCUGUAUAUUCAGUCCACCUGUCUGAAGUCUGUAUAGAAUUUGUAAUUUUGUUUAUAUUUUGAAAGUGCCUGAGAGCAAUAAAUA